rnacentral:rRNA from 1 species
GAUGAACGCUGGCGGCGUGCCUAAUACAUGCAAGUCGAGCGAAUGGAUUAAGAGCUUGCUCUUAUGAAGUUAGCGGCGGACGGGUGAGUAACACGUGGGUAACCUGCCCAUAAGACUGGGAUAACUCCGGGAAACCGGGGCUAAUACCGGAUAACAUUUUGAACCGCAUGGUGCGAAAUUGAAAGGCGGCUUCGGCUGUCACUUAUGGAUGGACCCGCGUCGCAUUAGCAAGUUGGUGAGGUAACGGCUCACCAAGGCAACGAUGCGUAGCCGACCUGAGAGGGUGAUCGGCCACACUGGGACUGAGACACGGCCCAGACUCCUACGGGAGGCAGCAGUAGGGAAUCUUCCGCAAUGGACGAAAGUCUGACGGAGCAACGCCGCGUGAGUGAUGAAGGCUUUCGGGUCGUAAAACUCUGUUGUUAGGGAAGAACAAGUGCUAGUUGAAUAAGCUGACACCUUGACGGUACCUAACCAGAAAGCCACGGCUAACUACGUGCCAGCCGCCGCGGUAA